GGCUAAACAUGCAAGUCGAACGCGUGUAGCAAUACACGAGUGGCGAAAGGGCGAGGAAUAGAUUCCUACGUACCCCGGAGUCAGGGAUAACCAUCGGAAACGGUGGCUAACACCUGAUGAUCUCGAAAGAGCAAAGUUUACGCUCUGGGAGCGGGGAAUCUCCUAUCAGCUAGUUGGUGAGGUAACGGCUCACCAAGGCUAAGACGGGUAGCGGGUGUGAGAGCACGGCCCGCCGCAUCGGGACUGAGACACUGCCCGGACUCCUACGGGAGGCUGCAGUAACGAAUCUUCCGCAAUGCACGAAAGUGUGACGGGGCAAUGCCGCGUGUGGGAUGAAGCCCUUCGGGGUGUAAACCACUGUCAGGGUCUAGGAACACAAUGACCAUACCCAAAGGAAGCACCGGCUAACUCUGUGCCAGCAGCCGCGGUAAUACAGAGGGUGCGAGCGUUAAUCGGAAUCACUGGGCUUAAAGGGUCCGUAGGCGGGACUGCAGGCGUCGAGUGAAAUACCACGGCUCAACCGUGGAACUGCUCGGCGAACCGCAGUUCUUGAGGCGAGUAGAGGCGAUCAGAACGAUAGGUGGAGCGGUGAAAUGCGUAGAUAUCUAUCGGAAUGCCAAAGGUGAAGACAGGUCGCUGGGCUCGUCCUGACGCUGAGGGACGAAAGCGUGGGGAGCAAACGGGAUUAGAUACCCCGGUAGUCCACGCCGUAAACAAUGCGCACUGGGUCGGGGAGGUUUGACGCCUUCCUGGCCGAAGCAAAAGUGUUAAGUGCGCCGCCUGGGGAGUACGGUCGCAAGGCUAAAACUCAAAUGAAUUGACGGAAGGGCGAAUUC
rnacentral:rRNA from 1 species